UCCAUCUGGGAGGGACAGAGGGAAGAAUGAGGAGUGUGGGGACGGACUAGAGCAGAGAAGGAGUAGAUCAGCAGGACACACAGACACACACACACACACACACACACACACACACACACACACACACACACACACACACACACACACACACACACACACACACACACACACCCUGGCAGUAGGACAGACACCCAAGUGGUUCUUUUUCACUCAAUGUCAUGUGUAACCCCCGAUUCCUCCCUCUCUCUGUUCCAGACUCUCUUUCUCUCUUUCCCUCUCUCCCCUUCCUCUCUCUCUCUCCCCCCUCUCCAUCUCUCUCUCUCUCUCCCCUUCCUUUCUCUCUCUCUCCCUCUCCCUCUCCAUCUCUCUCUCUCUCCUCUCUCUCCCCCUUCCUCUCUCACUCUCCCCCUCCUCUCUCUCUCUCUGUUCCAGACUCUCUUUCUCUGCCUUUCCCUCUCUCCCCCCUCCUCUCUCUCUCCCUAUUCUCGCUCUACUCUGCUCUUCCUCUUCUCUCCCUCCUUUCCUCCUCUCUCACACUCUCUCUCUUUCCCUCUCUCCCCCUCUCCUCUCUCUCUUUCUGACCCUCUCCUCCCCCAGCCUCCUCUCUGUGUGUCAGUUCUCUCUCUCUCUCCCCUCCUCUCUCCCUCCCCUCCUCUCUCUCUCUCUCUCCCCCUCCUCUCUCUCUUUCUCUCCCUCUCCUCUCUGUGUGUCAGUUCUCUCCAUCUCCCCUCCUCUUUCUCUCUCUCUCUCUCUCUCUCUUCUCUCUCUCCCCCUUCCUCUCUCUCUCCCCUUCCUUUCUCUCUCUCUCUCUCCCUCCUCUCUCCCUCCUCUCUCCCUCCCCUCCUCUCUCUCCCUCUCUCUCUCUCCCUCUCCCCCUCCUCCCUCUCUCUCUUUCUCCCCCUCUCCUCUCUGUGUGUCAGUUCUCUCCCUCUCCCCCUCCUCCCUCUCUCUCUCCCUCUCUCCCCUCCUCCCUCUCUCUCCCCCUCCUCCCUCUCUCUCUCUCUCUCUCCCCCCCUCCCUCUCUCUCUCUCCCUCUCCUCUCUGUGUGUCAGUUUCAAUCAGAGCCUUUCAAAACACCACUCCCCCACCGGGAG
rnacentral:lncRNA from 1 species